AGCGGUCACUCAAAGGACUCGCUCACGUUAACUCCGUUUGACAAUCUUUUGCACAUAAUCAUAAAUUGGUUGGCAAAAUCUCAGUUCACGUUAAAUUUAUCUUGCUACUACCAUACACUCUGUGUGUGUACACCGCAAUUCGAGAUUAAUUACAUGAAGAAAUUUUUCUCCGAACUAAAAUUAUGUUACGGUGGUGGCAGCAAUACCGAUUCAACAGCGGAGGAUACCACCAUGACUCUGCCGCAACCAGAGAAGGUGGUGCCUCUGUCCAUUUAUUAUGCAACCGGCAAGAAGGAGAUUGAUACUUAUGCAAGCUCUGGAAAGAUUAGCAGGCGUUUGAAGAAGUUGCACUCGGCUGCAAACUGGAAGCCCGUUCUUUCGGAUAUUUUGGAGAAUAAUGUCAUCGUCUCCGAUGUUGCUUUCCCGAGAACUCGUAAACAGACGACCGUGGUAAGAUCGGAGGUUAAAGCGUCCGGCAAGCGUAAAUCUGCAGGCUCGUCGGCUUCUUUUUAUAGUGAUAAAUACAGGAAAUCAACGGACCCAGCUUCGCUCCCAGCAUUCUCCCCCACCCCGUAUGUAUUUUAAGCCAGGCGUUGCAUGUUCAAAUUAUGAAUGGCUCAUACUUUCUCUUCAAAUAAUCCAAAUGGAUUAUUCAUCUGUAUCAUAUUAUCGUUGAUUUUCGAACUUAUUGGUUCGUCAUAAAAUGUAUGUACCUUAAUGUAUGGUGCUUUAAGACUAUAACUGUUUACGGUUCUUAUUCUUUAUGAAUUGGAAUUUCAUUAA